rnacentral:rRNA from 1 species
GCUCCUACGGGACGCAGCAGUGGGGAAUAUUGGGCAAUGGGCGCAAGCCUGACCCAGCAACGCCGCGUGAAGGAAGAAGGCUUUCGGGUUGUAAACUUCUUUUCUGAGGGACGAAGAAAGUGACGGUACCUCAGGAAUAAGCCACGGCUAACUACGUGCCAGCAGCCGCGGUAAUACGUAGGUGGCAAGCGUUAUCCGGAUUUAUUGGGUGUAAAGGGCGUGUAGGCGGGAUUGCAAGUCAGAUGGGAAAACUAUGGGCUCAACCCAUAGCCUGCAUUUGAAACUGGAUUUCUUGAGUGCUGGAG